rnacentral:lncRNA from 1 species
GGACUCCCUUUUUAAGCUUUUUACCAAGCUACUUUCAAGGGUCCCACUCCUGCCCUUGCAGCACCAGACUACUAGGUUCCCUAAGCUCAGAAAAUUCAAGUUUUCUUUGGUUUACUGAAAUCUUUUGGCUCACUGGAUUAUCUUUCAAAUCCCACUUCCGCUGCCAUCACUUGUGGUGAUCCCCCUUGUGCCCUUUAUAUCUUUGGGCUCCACAAACGUAAAUACGCCCUUUUCGCUGCCACCAGGUAUUCUCUUAAUACCAAUUCAAAUCCCACACACAUAUAGGAGCUGAUCAUAUAACUUAGGAAUCAGGGGUUUUCAAUUAAACAUUCUUUUAUUAAUGAACAAAUCAUCAGGAGAAUCAAAUAUAUAACUGUUUCAGGUGUUCAUGUAUAAUAAAUCAUGUAUUCAAUCACUGGUAUUUCUUAUAUUAUGCUUAUGAGUUCAUUCCUGCUUGCUCAAUAUGUUUUACUCUUUCAACUUCCUUUCUUAACCCCUUUUUAGCUAUUCCUAAAACCUAGCACUCUCUCCACAUCUUCUUGUCCCUACUUCUCUCUAUCCCUAUCUUAUUCCAACUCCCUUCUAGCUGUCUCUUCUAGCUGUCUAACUGCCAUCCUGACUCUGCCCCUCCUGCUCUAUCCCUUGAUUGACAUGCAGGAAUGACGUCAUCUUUUUGGGUUCCACUACAUAUAUGUAUUUUUAAAAAUUAUAAUAAGCCUUCUUGGAGAUAAAUUUAUUGAAAAACAGCUUAAAUCUUCAAAACACUAUAAAAUAAAAUACCAUAACAUUGUUAGCAGUUGCUUGUUAAUACAGCAUAAAAGUUGUUUCCCUCACAGAAAUGGGAUAAAUGGUCCCAUGUGUCAUUGUUGCAUCAUUUGUCAUGAAGAACCACCAGACUAUUGCAAAAAGAUCUUCCAGUUUUCCCCAUUGCUAAGUCCACACAGCCGUUGAACUGCCCUUUCCACUCCAAGAAUAAUUCACAUAGUUUGGUGCAGUUUCGUGCUCUGUGUUAUUUCAGAAGGUAAACUGAAAGUGGCUUUCAAAACAACCACCACCUGUAGACCUCAGCUAAAGACAAGGCCAUUUCAACCUUGGAAUGUACUGAGAAUUUCAGCUGACUGGUGACAGCAAUCUCUUAUCAUUUGGGGGUAGGAGGUGGGGUGGGGAGUCUUCUACCAAAAAGGGAGUCCAGCAAUAAGAAAAGUA